CAGCAGCAGCACAAGUCCGGCUGCUGAUUUGCAAGAUUCUUAUUUGUGCUUGUACACCGUGUGCUGGCCAUAAGUAACACAGGUUGACGAAAGCGCCAUAUCUCGCCCCCGUCUACCGCAUAAGGAUAAUGGAUAAUCAAUUGAACGACGCGUCUAUGUGUAAUUAUCAUAAACAAAAGUUCUCCGCACCGUCGUCGUCGUCUUCUUUCUUUCUUCGUCUUCUUCUUUGAUGGUGCAAGAAACUACAGAUGCCUAUUUCCGCACUUACGUCAAUGGUUUUUCCACAAAAAGGAUUGGACGACAUUGGGAAAGUUAAAUAAAUUCAGGUAAAAAACAAAGGGAAAUUGACCAAAGCUACUAAUAGCGGUGUAUAAUGUGUACCUCAUUAUUAUUUUAUGUUCCAAGUACAUUUUUAUGCUUUUAUUCACCGUCACGUAGUCCCUAAAGAGUCCAAGAAACAACUUCCCUAUUGUCAAUGUUGAAUCUGUGUGAAUGUCAGUAGAACCAAUGGCGAAACUCCAUCCGUGUUUUAUAAUCGGAAACGUUAGCAACGGUAGCGGUAGCAGCUACUCACCCAGCAUCGAGUAUAAUCGCAGGUCCUAAAAGAAACAAAAAAUAAUAAAAAGGGUCUUUCUCCCGACCCGCUGGAUUCCCCUUGAAUCCAAUUUUGGCGAGAAAGUAUCCAUUGUGAAAGCCAUUUUCCCUUCGACAAUAAAACUGACUGGCUUUGUGGUCUAUCCCCUGAAAGUAAUAGCUUGGCACUUAGCACUUUGUUGGCUAUAUACGGCUGAUACUGAAAUAAAUAAAUGACAAUGUGAUUCGACUAGACCAAUCAUCAAUUGAAAUAACACGGCAAAACUACGUCAAUACCGAUCCUUCGCUGUGAAUUACCAGGCGCUAGCUGCUUUCUAUUCGGUUCAAAGUCGUGUGAAAAACAGAAAAAAACACUUCCAUG